rnacentral:rRNA from 1 species
GACGAACGCUGGCGGCGUGCUUAACACAUGCAAGUCGAGCGGAAAGGCCCCUUUGGGGGUACUCGAGCGGCGAACGGGUGAGUAACACGUGAGUAACCUGCCCCAGGCUUUGGGAUAACCCUCGGAAGCGGGGGCUAAUACCGGAUAGGACCUGCUGCCGCAUGGUGGUGGGUGGAAAGUUUUUUCGGCUUGGGAUGGGCUCGCGGCCUAUCAGCUUGUUGGUGGGGUGAUGGCCUACCAAGGCGGCGACGGGUAGCCGGCCUGAGAGGGCGACCGGCCACACUGGGACUGAGACAAGGCCCAGACUCCUACGGGAGGCAGCAGUGGAGAAUAUUGCACAAGGGGCGCAAGCCUGAUGCAGCGACGCCGCGUGAGGGAUGACGGCCUUCGGGUUGUAAACCUCUUUCAGCAGGGACGAAGCCUUUUGGGGUGACGGUACCUGCAGAAGAAGCGCCGGCCAACUACGUGCCAGCAGCCGCGGUAA